GACGAACGCUGGCGGCGUGCUUAACACAUGCAAGUCGAACGGAAAGGCCCUGCUUUUGUGGGGUGCUCGAGUGGCGAACGGGUGAGUAACACGUGAGUAACCUGCCCUUGACUUUGGGAUAACUUCAGGAAACUGGGGCUAAUACCGGAUAGGAGCUCCUGCUGCAUGGUGGGGGUUGGAAAGUUUCGGCGGUUGGGGAUGGACUCGCGGCUUAUCAGCUUGUUGGUGGGGUAGUGGCUUACCAAGGUUUUGACGGGUAGCCGGCCUGAGAGGGUGACCGGCCACAUUGGGACUGAGAUACGGCCCAGACUCCUACGGGAGGCAGCAGUGGGGAAUAUUGCACAAUGGGCGGAAGCCUGAUGCAGCAACGCCGCGUGCGGGAUGACGGCCUUCGGGUUGUAAACCGCCUUCGCCUGUGACGAAGCGUGAGUGACGGUAAUGGGUAAAGAAGCACCGGCUAACUACGUG
rnacentral:rRNA from 1 species